rnacentral:ribozyme from 12 species
UUUUUUUUUUUUUUUUUUUUCCAACAAUUAAAGAUGAAUUAAGUAGUUUUAGUUAACUUAUUAUCGGUUUAGAUCGCGCUAGGUUCUAUUCAUGGAUACUUGAUACUUUGGAUAAAAAUCAUGGGGGAAAUGUGUGUGUUAGUUUUUUGUUGAAAAAGGGUUAGUCGCUUAAGCCUUCUUCAGAGCGUUUG